UACGAAGGGUGCAAGCGUUAAUCGGAAUUACUGGGCGUAAAGCGCGCGUAGGUGGUUUGGUAAGAUGGAUGUGAAAUCCCCGGGCUCAACCUGGGAACUGCAUCCAUAACUGCCUGACUAGAGUACGGUAGAGGGUGGUGGAAUUUCCUGUGUAGCGGUGAAAUGCGUAGAUAUAGGAAGGAACACCAGUGGCGAAGGCGACCACCUGGACUGAUACUGACACUGAGGUGCGAAAGCGUGGGGAGCAAAC
rnacentral:rRNA from 2 species